UACGUAGGGGGCAAGCGUUGUCCGGAAUCAUUGGGCGUAAAGCGCGCGUAGGCGGCCCGGUAAGUCCGUUGUGAAAGUCAAAGGCUCAACCUUUGAACGCCGAUGGAUACUGCCGGGCUAGAGUCCGGAAGAGGCGAGUGGAAUUCCUGGUGUAGCGGUGAAAUGCGCAGAUAUCAGGAAGAACACCCGUGGCGAAGGCGGCUCUCUGGUACGGAACUGACGCUGAGACGCGAAAGCGUGGGGAGCGAACAGG
rnacentral:rRNA from 1 species